ensembl:lncRNA
UUUCAGGUGCACAGGUGUUCUACACAUUUAUUUGCUAAACCCUAUCCCAGGGAGAACUCCAUGCUUCCAAAAUCGUGUUAACCAGCAAGAAUGAAGGUCAGGAGCCUCCAGUAAACUAAUCCCAGGCUUGCUCUUAGGUGCUGUGGCCAGCUUGUCAAUUGUCUAAGUACCUGGUGACCAACUAAUGGGCCAGCUCCUGGGGUCAUUGAGAGAUAGAAGAAGACAGAACCCAAAACUCAUCGGUGGAAAUUAAGAGAUUGGCUCCUAGUAAACAAGGCUCACGGGACUUCGUGAUGGACAGGGAAGCCUGGCGGGGCUGCAGUCCAUGGGGUCGCAAAGAGUCAGACGUGACUGAGCGACUGAACUGAACUGAAGGGGAACAUAAUCGUCUUUUACGGAUUGUCUCCUAGUAAACAAGUCUCACCUAAACCCUUUCUGCUGUUGCUAUAAAUCACCCCACGCUACCUGCCUCUUUUGGUUAGCAAUAAAAAGUUGGAUAACCUUUUAAAAACUUCUGCUGCUGGAUACAGGC